AGUGAACGCUGGCGGUAGGCCUAACACAUGCAAGUCGAACGGCAGCACAGUAAGAGCUUGCUCUUACGGGUGGAGAGUGGCGGACGGGUGAGGAAUACAUCGGAAUCUACCUUUUCGUGGGGGAUAACGUAGGGAAACUUACGCUAAUACCGCAUACGACCUACGGGUGAAAGCAGGGGAUCUUCGGACCUUGCGCGAUUGAAUGAGCCGAUGUCGGAUUAGCUAGUUGGCGGGGUAAAGGCCCACCAAGGCGACGAUCCGUAGCUGGUCUGAGAGGAUGAUCAGCCACACUGGAACUGAGACACGGUCCAGACUCCUACGGGAGGCAGCAGUGGGGAAUAUUGGACAAUGGGCGCAAGCCUGAGCCAGCCAUACCGCGUGGGUGAAGAAGGCCUUCGGGUUGUAAAGCCCUUUUGUUGGGAAAGAAAAGCAGCAGGUUAAUACCCCGCUGUUCUGACGGUACCCAAAGAAUAAGCACCGGCUAACUUCGUG
rnacentral:rRNA from 1 species